rnacentral:rRNA from 1 species
GAGGAACUUGUUCCUCGAGUCGUUGAUUUCACACUGCCGAGAAAAGCCUCUAGCUAGAAUAACGGUGCCCGUACCGCAAACCGACACAGGUAGUCAAGAUGAGAAUUCUAAGGUGAGCGAGCGAACUCUCGUUAAGGAACUCGGCAAAAUGACCCCGUAACUUCGGGAGAAGGGGUGCUCUUUGAGGUUCACGCUUCGAAGAGCCGCAGUGAAUAGGCCCAAGCGACUGUUUAUCAAAAACACAGGUCUCUGCUAAACCGUAAGGUGACGUAUAGGGGCUGACGCCUGCCCGGUGCUGGAAGGUUAAGAGGAGUGGUUAGCGCAAGCGAAGCUACGAAUCGAAGCCCCAGUAAACGGCGGCCGUAACUAUAACGGUCCUAAGGUAGCGAAAUUCCUUGUCGGGUAAGUUCCGACCCGCACGAAAGGCGUAACGAUUUGGGCACUGUCUCAACGAGAGACUCGGUGAAAUCAUAGUACCGGUGAAGAUGCCGGUUACCCGCGACAGGACGGAAAGACCCCGUGGAGCUUUACUGUAGCCUGAUAUUGAAAUUCGGUACAGUUUGUACAGGAUAGGUAGGAGCCUUAGAAGCGUGAGCGCUAGCUUACGUGGAGGCAUUGGUGGGAUACUACCCU